UCACGAUUAGGACUCUAUGCCACCAGA
rnacentral:sRNA from 1 species